rnacentral:rRNA from 1 species
GUAACACGUAGUCAACAUGCCCAGGAGACGUGGAUAACCUCGGGAAACUGAGGAUAAACCGCGAUAGGUCACUACUUCUGGAAUGGGUAAUGACUCAAACCUAUAUGGCCCCUGGAUUGGACUGCGGCCGAUCAGGCUGUUGGUGAGGUAAUGGCCCACCAAACCUGUAACCGGUACGGGCUCUGAGAGGAGGAGCCCGGAGAUGGGCACUGAGACAAGGGCCCAGGCCCUAUGGGGCGCAGCAGGCGCGAAACCUCUGCAAUAGGCGAAAGCCUGACAGGGUUACUCUGAGUGAUCUCCGUUAAGGAGAUCUUUUGGCACCUCUAAAAAUGGUGCAGAAUAAGGGGUGGGCAAGUCUGGUGUCAGCCGCCGCGGUAAUACCAGCACCCCGAGUGGUCGGGACGUUUAUUGGGCCUAAAGCAUCCGUAGCCGGUUCUACAAGUCUUCCGUUAAAUCCAGCUGCUUAACAGAUGGGCUGCGGAAGAUACUAUGGAGCU